rnacentral:tRNA from 1 species
UGGCUCAGAUGGUAAAGAAUCUGCCUGCAACGCAGGAGGCCCAGGUUCAAUCCCUGG